GUGCCAGCCGCCGCGGUAAUACGUAGGCUCCAAGCGUUGUUCGGAAUUACUGGGCGUAAAGCGAGUGUAGGCGGUCCGCUAAGUCGGUUGUGAAAUCUCCCGGCUCAACUGGGAGGGUGCGGCCGAAACUGGCGGACUCGAGUGCGAGAGGGGAGAGCGGAAUUCCUGGUGUAGCGGUGAAAUGCGUAGAUAUCAGGAGGAACGCCGGUGGUGAAGACGGCUCUCUGGAUCGCUACUGACGCUGAGACUCGAAAGCGUGGGGAGCAAACAGGAUUAGAUACCCUGGUAGUCCACGCCCUAAACGAUGCGUACUUGGUGUGGGCCCUUCACUGGGUCCGUGCCGGAGCUAACGCGUUAAGUACGCCGCCUGGGGAGUACGGUCGCAAGGCUGAAACUUAAAGGAAUUGACGGGG
rnacentral:rRNA from 1 species